UCCUACGGAGGCAGCAGUAAGGAAUAUUGGACAAUGGGCGAAAGCCUGAUCCAGCAAUGCCGCGUGAGUGAUGAAGGCCUUAGGGUUGUAAAGCUCUUUUACCCGGGAUGAUAAUGACAGUACCGGGAGAAUAAGCCCCGGCUAACUCCGUGCCAGCAGCCGCGGUAAUA
rnacentral:rRNA from 1 species